ensembl:snRNA U1 U1 spliceosomal RNA
AUACUUACCUGGCAGGGGACAUACCAUGAUCAAGAAGGUGGUUCACCCAGGUCGAGGUUUGGCCAUUGCACUCCGGCCAUGCUGACCCCUGCGAAUUCCUCAAAUGUGGGAAUCUCGACUGCAUAAUUUCUGGUAGUGGGGGACUGCGUUCGCGCUCUCCCCUG